UACGUAGGCAGCAAACGUUGUUCGGAGUUACUGGGCGUAAAGAGUACGUAGGCGGUUUGCCAAGUUUGGUGUGAAAUCUCCUGGCUUAACUGGGAGGGUGCGCCGAAUACUGGCGGGCUUGAGUAUUGGAGAGGAAAGCGGAAUUCCUGGUGUAGCGGUGAAAUGCGUAGAUAUCAGGAGGAAAACCAGUGGCGAAGGCGACUACCUGGCCUGUUUCUUGACGCUGAGGCGCGAAAGCUAGGGGAGCAAACGGG
rnacentral:rRNA from 1 species